GAUGAACGCUAGCGGGAGGCCUAACACAUGCAAGCCGAGCGGUAUUGUUUCUUCGGAAAUGAGAGAGCGGCGUACGGGUGCGGAACACGUGUGCAACCUGCCUUUAUCUGGGGGAUAGCCUUUCGAAAGGAAGAUUAAUACUCCAUAACAUAUUGAUUGGCAUCAAUUAAUAUUGAAAGCUCCGGCGGAUAGAGAUGGGCACGCGCAAGAUUAGCUAGUUGGUGAGGUAACGGCUCACCAAGGCGAUGAUCUUUAGGGGGCCUGAGAGGGUGAUCCCCCACACUGGUACUGAGACACGGACCAGACUCCUACGGGAGGCAGCAGUGAGGAAUAUUGGUCAAUGGGUGCAAGCCUGAACCAGCCAUCCCGCGUGAAGGACGACUGCCCUAUGGGUUGUAAACUUCUUUUGUAUAGGGAUAAACCUACCCUCGUGAGGGUAGCUGAAGGUACUAUACGAAUAAGCACCGGCUAACUCCGUGCCAGCAGCCGCGGUAAUACGGAGGGUGCAAGCGUUAUCCGGAUUUAUUGGGUUUAAAGGGUCCGUAGGCGGACUUAUAAGUCAGUGGUGAAAGCCUGUCGCUUAACGAUAGAACUGCCAUUGAUACUGUAAGUCUUGAGUAUAUUUGAGGUAGCUGGAAUAAGUAGUGUAGCGGUGAAAUGCAUAGAUAUUACUUAGAACACCAAUUGCGAAGGCAGGUUACCAAGAUAUAACUGACGCUGAGGGACGAAAGCGUGGGGAGCGAACAGGAUUAGAUACCCUGGUAGUCCACGCCGUAAACGAUGCUAACUCGUUUUUGGGCUUUAGGGUUCAGAGACCAAGCGAAAGUGAUAAGUUAGCCACCUGGGGAGUACGCUCGCAAGGGUGAAACUCAAAGGAAUUGACGGGGGCCCGCACAAGCGGUGGAUUAUGUGGUUUAAUUCGAUGAUACGCGAGGAACCUUACCAAGACUUAAAUGGGAAUUGACAGCUUUAGAAAUAGAGCUUUCUUCGGACAAUUUUCAAGGUGCUGCAUGGUUGUCGUCAGCUCGUGCCGUGAGGUGUUAGGUUAAGUCCUGCAACGAGCGCAACCCCUGUCACUAGUUGCCAUCAUUCAGUUGGGGACUCUAGUGAGACUGCCUACGCAAGUAGAGAGGAAGGUGGGGAUGACGUCAAAUCAUCACGGCCCUUACGUCUUGGGCCACACACGUAAUACAAUGGCCGGUACAGAGGGCAGCUACACAGCGAUGUGAUGCAAAUCUCGAAAGCCGGUCUCAGUUCGGAUUGGAGUCUGCAACUCGACUCUAUGAAGCUGGAAUCGCUAGUAAUCGCGCAUCAGCCAUGGCGCGGUGAAUACGUUCCCGGGCCU
rnacentral:rRNA from 1 species